rnacentral:rRNA from 1 species
AGGAUAAACGCUGGCGGCGUGCAUGAGACAUGCAAGUCGAACGGACACUCGGGGCUUGCUCCGAGUGUUAGUGGCGGACGGCUGAGUAACGCGUAGGUGACCUGCCCCGAAGUGGGGAAUAACUGCCCGAAAGGGUGGCUAAUACCGCAUGUGGUGGAACGUUCAUUCGUUCCAGUAAAGCCGCAAGGCGCUUCGGGAGGGGCCUGCGUCCGAUUAGCUCGUUGGUGGGGUAACGGCUCACCAAGGCGACGAUCGGUAGGUGGUCUGAGAGGACGAUCACCCAGACUGGGACUGAGACACGGCCCAGACUCCUACGGGAGGCAGCAGUCGGGAAUUUUGCGCAAUGGACGAAAGUCUGACGCAGCAACGCCGCGUGAGGGAUGAAGGCCUCGGGUUGUAAACCUCUUUUAUCAGGGAAGAUAAUGACGGUACCUGAUGAAUAAGUCACGGCUAACUCUGUGCCAGCAGCCGC